rnacentral:lncRNA from 1 species
GAAUACGAAAUCUGAAACUGUUUUCAAAUGUUCAUGAAAUUCUUGUUGCAUCCGCAGUCAUUGAGCUUUAGUUUUUGACGCGCAUUGGUGCAAUUCUUCAUUCGCGAUACGGUUAGUCGGUAAAUGACAUCACUGAACGAUUUCAGUGAGGAGAUUUGAAUCGCCGAGAUCAAAAUUUGCUUGAGAUUGUAUGCGCUUUCAUCCGUGUUUUUAUGCUUCAUUCAUAAAAUCCUCUUCAUUUUCUGUGAGCGUUCUUUGAACCUGUGAUUGGAGAACAUUGAAGUGGUGCGGUGUUGGAAGAAUCACGAACGGAGGUUUUGCGAUUUCCGGCGAACAGAAUCGGUGAAGAUGACCGGAACAGUUGUCGCGAAUCGGUGUUUGUUUCAUUGCUGAAGCUGGCGCACGAACCGGUGAAAUUGUUUUCUGUUCAGAACUGAUGCAACUGAAACGGUGAAAUUCUGGUGACGUUCUUUUCGGUGCAGAAUCGUUGUUUGCGGUGGAGAAAUUGCUUUCAUCCGCUGCAGUAAUUCGCAUAGGGUUUAGAUAAUUCCUAUCUCUGAAUUCUAUUUUCUGUUAUAUUCUGGAUAAUUUUGAGUGAAUCAUUUGUGAUUCAGUGGAAAUUUCAGAGGAACGUUCAUCUUUUACCGUAAAUUUUUGGCAUAUUCAAUUCUAUUGAAAUGUGAAUGUGAAUCUGUUUUGAGCUUGGAAAGAACUGCACAAAAGGUGUUUGAUAAAAUUACAAAAGUGGAAGUUGGAUUCAAUUGGUUCUAGCUUAACUGCAUUGAUUCAAUCUUGAAACUUUGCCUCUGAAUUUCACGUCAUUUUUCUUUGGUGCUGCUGUUUGAUUCAAAUUACUGCUAGGUGCAAUUUUCUGACUAGUGCAGCGUGAAUUUUGAGCAGUGGAGUUGUUCAAGAAUUGGUAUUUGAAAAUUGUGAGAUUGAAUUCAAACGGUGACAAAUUUCUGCAACUGCAAUUUUCUGGUUUUUUGGUGCAGAUUUGGUUAUAGCUGAACUGUACAGCUGGUGCAGAAUUUUAAAAUUGCAAUUGACAAGUGCAGGUCUUCAUACUAUCUGUUCUGAUUCAAAUUUGAGUGCUUGAAAUGGUUGAUCAAUUUUGGUGCAGAUUUCUUUAUUAAAAUAUUUUUGAGAAGUGGGUGGAUUUGUUGGAGAAAUUGAUUUGUUGAAUUGAUGCUGUUCUUACAAGCUCUCCUCCAAGAACGGCAGGGUGGUACCUGCGAAGGCGUUUUGACGUUCAAGUGUGUGCCGAUAUAUUAUGUAGGUGUGUUAGGGAUCAGGAAAAUUACUUCUUGCAUAGGGUCCCUUUUAAUAUUUAUAGUCUUGUCUUGGGCUUCAGCUAUCAUGGACCUUCUUUUGAACUCAGGCGAAGGUCCAUUUAUGUCUUAAUUAUGGUUUAUAAUCAAACUGACUUAAUUAUAAUUAAUUGUUUAUCGUUUGCUUUGAA